rnacentral:ncRNA from 2 species
CUCUUAUUAAGAGAGGCGGAGGGACUGGCCCUAUGAUGCCCGGCAACCAUUCAAUCAUUUUAUUGUAAAGGUGCUAAUUCCUGCAUAGCAAAUUGCUAUGACAGAUAAGAG